UACAUACACAGAUGGGGCGCUCUGUCCAGG
rnacentral:piRNA from 1 species